rnacentral:rRNA from 1 species
UACAGAGGGUGCGAACGUUGUUCGGAAUCACUGGGCAUAAAGCGCACGUAGGCGGCACCGCAAGUGUGGGGUGAAAUCCCACGGCUUACCCGUGGAACUGCCUGGCAGACUGCGGUGCUAGAGGUUGGUGAGGGGAGAGCGGAACUCUUGGUGGAGCGGUGAAAAUGCGUAGAUAUCAAGAGGAACACCGAUGGCGAAGGCAGCUCGCUGGGACGGUACUGACGCUGAGACGCGAAAGCGUGGGGAGCAAACAGG